CUGCUCUCCAUUAAACAGAAAUUGGAGAAAAGAAAAACAGAGGGCUAAUAACUCAGAUCUCAACAGUAGAUAGUGCAGGCGAAUGACCAUGAUAUAAGCAGAUAAAUCUAAUGUUAGCUGUGCAUUACACAAUUUGAAUGCCUUCUCUGAGGUAACCACAUUGUGCAUUCAAACUGUUUAAUAGUCAGCUUUGGAAAAAACCUUGAAUAGCAUGCAUUGUUAAUAUCAUUAAACAUUUAUUUAUGUUUCUAUGUGUAUUUUUAUGUUUUAUAUAUACCAGAUGACCUUACGGACUUGUGCCAUUAUUGUGGUGAGAGGAGUAUAGAUGAGGAAGGAGAAACAACUCUUUGGAUCCAGUGUGAUAGUUGUGCCCGGUGGUACCAUGUGCGGUGUGCUGGAGAGCCAGACUGCCAAAAAAAAUUUCAAUGUGCAGCAUGCACAUUGUAGAUUUUCUGUCAACAAAUUAAAAUGAUAAUUGUAAAUAGUUAUAUUUAAAAUGUUUUGUAAAUAAUUGUUUUGUUUGUUUUCUGUGUUAUAUUGUUAUUUUUCAAAAAGUAAAAGCUUCAUUGUUUUAUUUAAAUGAUUAAGCCUGAAAUUUGUGUUUUUGUGAGAAUAGCAAUGUUCAAUGUGGAAUAUCAGAAUUGGGUGACUAAACAAAUAAAUUUAGAUUAGAUUAAAAUUUAAUUAAACACCACCAGAGUGUCACAUUCUGGAAAGUUUCUCCCCACUCCCAAUCACAUAAUUCACUCUGUUCACUGUCACCCCAAUCAGCAAGUUACCCAUCACUCAAAUAUUGAUCACUUAUGCACCUACACAUCAUUCUCCACUAAUCUCUCCAGACCAUAAAUUCCUGCACGGUACCUCACUCAGUGUAAUGUCUUAUUGCAUCAAGAAGGACAAACUUUCGCGGUCAGUAAUAUCAGUUGUGAUGUUUUAUACUUACCUUGUCUGCUCCAGUGUACCUAUAGUGUCUUCGUCUCUCUUUCCAGUGUGGUUCCCUCCUGGUUGUGUGUGUCUCCUGAUCUCAUUGUUGUUCAUCAUCUUCAUCAGUGUCCAGUUAAUUCCAUCCAGGUCCAAUGCUUACCCUCUACACGGAAAAAAGACUUUACCUGUUUGCCAUAUAACCUGUUAAUCCACUUUCCGCAAUAAACUGUAAAGUUUACUCACCCAGCUCAGGUCUCAGUCCCCCUUCUGUGACAGAGAAUUUUGAUUUUUUUUAUUAUUAUUACUCGAGGUAAAAUUUAAGGAGUGCUGGAAUUCUUCACUAUAAAAUAGCCUUAUCAUAUUUGGUGACCCUGCUGUAUUUCUGUUACUGUAUAUGUCAUGUCAAAAACAGCUGUUACAGUGCAUAGCUGAGGAGAUUAAACACCACCAGAGACAAUUUAGAGAGAAAAAAUUUUUUUUGGGUAAAAUAUAAGGAGUAUCAGAAUAAAUUGAUCAUAGAAAUAGCCCUAUCAUAUUUGGUGACCCUGCUGUACUUCUGUUACUGUAUAUGUCAUGUUAAAAACAGCUGUUACAGUGCAUAGCUGAAGAGAUUAAACACCACCAGAGACAAUUUG